GGAAAGUCCCAAUUCCUAGUCUAUAAAAGGGGAGCCCUCUCUUGGACAUCCCAUGAUCAAUUCUCUUGUGGAUUUUUUAUUUUCAAAGCCUCUUCUUCUCCUCCUCUCUUCCUCCUCCAAAUUUUCUAUCACUUUGGAGUGUCCAAGGUGCUUGUAGAAGAAAAAAGAGAUCAGCUGUCGAAGUUGUUCGCAGACUAGCAUCUCCGAGGCCUUGAUCUGCACCAGUCUUCACAAAGAUUUUUCUAUAGAGAAUAGAUGACUUCGUGUGGCUGUGAGUGACCUGAGGAACACCCUCUCCAAUGGUUCGACCAGAGGAGAUCAAGAUC
rnacentral:lncRNA from 1 species